UCGAGAUAGGGUCGCACCUACAAAGACAGGACAUGACCCUGAACAUACAAAACAGGAUUUUUAUGCAUGAAAAUCAGAUCACUUUUGCUCUACACUUUACAGCUGGUUGUUCCUCAGAACAGUUCACCCCGCCCUUCAAGAGCUAUCUGCACCUGGCUUCAAUUCAAAUAAUAACAGUUGUUUUUCUCAUUCCCAGGUGGUCCCUCAUUUGUUCUGAUGAUGAAAUCACUGAAUAAUGUCAUGUUGCAGUGUUAAGAGUGCAGGGAUCUGUUUAGGAGCCUGUGCAAAACAACUGCCUCAUUCACUAAGAUUGUUGAAAUCAUACACCGGGAGACUGAAGCUGAAAGGAACUUAAGGCAGAAGCACACGCAGAAUGCAAGAUCUGUUCUAGCCACGUUCCUCCUUGAGCAUCAGCCAGAGCUGAAUGAAUGACUUCGUUAAAGUAGGCAAAGACUGCUCCUGGCUUCUGCCCCUUCUCCUUGCCUGAUCAUCAGAAGCCGUGCCUUAGACUCUCCCCUCAAACUCCUUGUGGGCCAACACAGGUGCGUACUGUGAGCUAAGUAGUGGAAUUUGGGUAGAACACAAGACCACCUGUAUCUGGAAAGGGUGCUUUAGGGUGGGAUAUGGGAAAAUUCGCAGGAGGAAGGAAGGGUUUCACAGUUUGGAAGCAGAAGGGCGUUCCACGGUUUAGCCUGUAAUUGGAAGCCUCGAGGGAGUGGGUGGGGCCUAGGUCGGUAUUUAAGGGUGAGCAGCGGACCCCUUUACGCAUUUGCCAUAGCCUGCACUGUCCUGAGUGUUGUUCUGAGUACACACUGGAGAGGAAGAAUUCCUACCAAAGUGUCCUCGGCAGGAUGGAAGAUCAGGCAGAUGUGGGUGGCUGCAGUAAGAUAAAGACAUCCCUGCAUCUAAAGACUGUUUGGCAGGCUAAGCAGAAGGAGGUCUUGCUCUCAGUUUUUGCCAAGACACCUUACCCGAGCUUCAGGACCAGGCAGGAACUGGCCAGGGAAUUUGGGGUUCCAGAGUCCUGCAUCUGCAUGUGGUUUCAAAACUGCAGAAAUAAGACUGGCGUGUCGAGGAAGACCUCAAAACAGACCACCGCAGGCUCCAGGCAUGAAGCCUCCCAACAGCCUCCUGAAAAGCUUGUCGCCAGGGUACAACAAGCAAGAGGCCCGCCCUCAGAAUGGAGAAGGCCUCGAACGCGGCUUAGUCCAGCGCAGAUCAGCAUGCUAAUCUUUUGAGAUCUCUCCAUCCCCAGACUAUGCCACGAGAGUGCAACUGGCACUGAGCACAGGUUUGCCUGAGGACACCCACCACAUAUGGUUCCAGAACAGAAAGGCCAGGCAGAAAGGCCGCGCUGGAGGCAGCACAGCUAAAGGUGAGGACCUGUCUGCCUCUCCUGGCCCAGAAAGGGCUCCUGGAGCAUCGUAUUGCAUUGAGCAGGAGGCUUCCCGCGACAGCUUGUUGACACCGGGUUCUGCAGGAGGCGAGUAUGGAGAAACGUUGAUGCCAACAUCCGAGCUCACCUUCUCCACAGAGGCCUAACCAGAACCCAGCAACUCCUGCCCUGCACAGCUUUUCCUGGAUCAACUGCUGAGUACAGCGGAAGUCAAGGAACAGGUACCAGCUGCUCUGGACCCAGAUGACCCAUGAGAGCAGAUCGAACCAACACUUGAGGCUCCUCUCACGGAAGAAGAAUAUCAGUCUCUGUUGUAUGAUAUUUGACCCCAUUGGUAACCCCUAGAAUUGGGACUGUAAAACUCUGUUGCUUGGACCCUCACCUGACCAUUGUCUCAGAGACUCCAGCCAGAAAUGAGCUUGGACAGAUGCUCAGGCUUGCACCUAAGAAAGGUGCAGAGCUCUAGCGAUCCUGAGUAAGUGUUGGGAAAAAGAUGGAAGGCCCUGGAGGUGCGAGGAACCUCACAAGAAGACCAACAGAAACAGGUGACCCAGACCCCUGGGCGCUUGAAGAAACUGAGCCAUCAAAUAAGGAGCAUGCUUGGUCUGGACCUAAGGACCCUGCACACACGUAGCAGGUGGGAGGUGAAUCCUUGUGCUUAAUGUGGGUUGCCCUAUGAGGGAGGUGUUGUGGAGUGGCACAGCGCCGGUGGAGAGUUGUUUCUAGCCUGGAUUUUGUUGUUUCUAACCUGGACGGUUUUUGAAGGACAGUUAUAUCAUGUUAACGGUUUUUGAAGGACAGUUAUAUCAUGUUAGCUUCAAUUAUGAUGAGGAUAAAUAUGUAAUUUGUCUGUUAUUGUACUCUGCAUCAUUAAAUUACUUUUAGGCAUUACUA